rnacentral:rRNA from 2 species
GACGAACGCUGGCGGCGUGCCUAAUACAUGCAAGUCGAACGAACUCUGGUAUUGAUUGGUGCUUGCAUCAUGAUUUACAUUUGAGUGAGUGGCGAACUGGUGAGUAACACGUGGGAAACCUGCCCAGAAGCGGGGGAUAACACCUGGAAACAGAUGCUAAUACCGCAUAACAACUUGGACCACAUGGUCCGAGUUUGAAAGAUGGCUUCGGCUAUCACUUUUGGAUGGUCCCGCGGCGUAUUAGCUAGAUGGUGGGGUAACGGCUCACCAUGGCAAUGAUACGUAGCCGACCUGAGAGGGUAAUCGGCCACAUUGGGACUGAGACACGGCCCAAACUCCUACGGGAGGCAGCAGUAGGGAAUCUUCCACAAUGGACGAAAGUCUGAUGGAGCAACGCCGCGUGAGUGAAGAAGGGUUUCGGCUCGUAAAACUCCGUUGUUAAAGAAGAACAUAUCUGAGAGUAACUGUUCAGGUAUUGACGGUAUUUAACCAGAAAGCCACGGCUAACUACGUGCCAGCAGCCGCGGUAAUACGUAGGUGGCAAGCGUUGUCCGGAUUUAUUGGGCGUAAAGCGAGCGCAGGCGGUUUUUUAAGUCUGAUGUGAAAGCCUUCGGCUCAACCGAAGAAGUGCAUCGGAAACUGGGAAACUUGAGUGCAGAAGAGGACAGUGGAACUCCAUGUGUAGCGGUGAAAUGCGUAGAUAUAUGGAAGAACACCAGUGGCGAAGGCGGCUGUCUGGUCUGUAACUGACGCUGAGGCUCGAAAGUAUGGGUAGCAAACAGGAUUAGAUACCCUGGUAGUCCAUACCGUAAACGAUGAAUGCUAAGUGUUGGAGGGUUUCCGCCCUUCAGUGCUGCAGCUAACGCAUUAAGCAUUCCGCCUGGGGAGUACGGCCGCAAGGCUGAAACUCAAAGGAAUUGACGGGGGCCCGCACAAGCGGUGGAGCAUGUGGUUUAAUUCGAAGCUACGCGAAGAACCUUACCAGGUCUUGACAUACUAUGCAAAUCUAAGAGAUUAGACGUUCCCUUCGGGGACAUGGAUACAGGUGGUGCAUGGUUGUCGUCAGCUCGUGUCGUGAGAUGUUGGGUUAAGUCCCGCAACGAGCGCAACCCUUAUUAUCAGUUGCCAGCAUUAAGUUGGGCACUCUGGUGAGACUGCCGGUGACAAACCGGAGGAAGGUGGGGAUGACGUCAAAUCAUCAUGCCCCUUAUGACCUGGGCUACACACGUGCUACAAUGGAUGGUACAACGAGUUGCGAACUCGCGAGAGUAAGCUAAUCUCUUAAAGCCAUUCUCAGUUCGGAUUGUAGGCUGCAACUCGCCUACAUGAAGUCGGAAUCGCUAGUAAUCGCGGAUCAGCAUGCCGCGGUGAAUACGUUCCCGGGCCUUGUACACACCGCCCGUCACACCAUGAGAGUUUGUAACACCCAAAGUCGGUGGGGUAACCUUUUAGGAACCAGCCGCCUAAGGUGGGACAGAUGAUUAGGGUG